AUAUAUAUACACACACACACUAACGCACCGGGCCCAUCAAAAUUCCGAAGUUAAACCUACUUGGACUAGAGUAGUACUGGAUGGAUAACCUCUUGGGAAGUCCUCAUGUUGUACCCAUU
rnacentral:rRNA from 1 species